rnacentral:rRNA from 1 species
CCUACGGGAGGCUGCAGUGGGGAAUAUUGGACAAUGGGGGGAACCCUGAUCCAGCCAUGCCGCGUGUGUGAAGAAGGCCCUCGGGUUGUAAAGCACUUUCAGUGAGGAAGAACGCCUGGUGGUUAAUACCCAUCAGGAAAGACAUCACUCACAGAAGAAGCACCGGCUAACUCCGUGCCAGCAGCCGCGGUAAUACGGAGGGUGCGAGCGUUAAUCGGAAUUACUGGGCGUAAAGCGCGCGUAGGUGGCUUGAUAAGCCGGUUGUGAAAGCCCCGGGCUCAACCUGGGAACGGCAUCCGGAACUGUCAAGCUAGAGUGCGGGAGAGGAAGGUAGAAUUCCCGGUGUAGCGGUGAAAUGCGUAGAGAUCGGGAGGAAUACCAGUGGCGAAGGCGGCCUUCUGGACUGACACUGACACUGAGGUGCGAAAGCGUGGGUAGCAAACAGGAUUAGAUACCCUUGUAGUC